rnacentral:lncRNA from 1 species
AAUAAAUUAUAAAUAUAUCUCUAAUUGUGUCGUGAUUUUAAGGCUCGCAUGCCUAAAAUUCUAAGCCCAGCCCAGCCCACGCUCACGUCAUGCUGUGUUGCGUGCACCACCGAAAUGUGCUUGUGUCGUGCCGUGCUCGUGCCACGUGCCGUCCGACCCAUUGGCCAUCUCUAAUUGCAUUACAUCUUCAUUUAUUGUUCGUUUUUGCAAAGCCCUUACAACUUUCGAGAGUAAAAAAUCAGGGAACAAAGCCAACUGCUCGUAACAAAAAAAAUAAAAAAUAAAAAAUAAAAAUCAUCUUCUCUUCUCUUCUAAAUGCGUCAAGCAAUUUCUUCUUCUCCUCUCUUCCAAAUGCACGGCAGUCUUGCUCUACCACCACGCCAUCUUGAUUUGCCGAGCAACACUGCAACUUCACCACCUCGCGUCGCGUGAUAACUAGCUUCACAGCCACCGUCGCAAGACACCACCAGCUCUAAUGCCUUCAUGAUCUACCUUCAUCAAGCUCAAAUCACACAAGCUCAAAUCACAAACCCUUAAAAGUGCAUAAACCAGUCAACAAUUAAAAAAAAAAAAAAGAUCCUAACAUCAAGCUCAGAUCAUAAACCAAUAAAUCCAUUUGCUAAUCUCUCAAAUAAACCAAAGAUAAAAACUUUAUAUAAAAUAAAUAAAACUUUUUCUUGAUAAGUAGUAAUCUUUGUGCUUGUUCAAAAAGAAAAAAGAUUAUGAAUUGACACUUCAAAGAAACACGAUUUAUGUUGCGAUUAAAUUUAGGUUGCGAAUUGGGAGUUGUGUGUCAAGGUGGUUGGUGAUUAAUUGAUAAAAAACAUACGAGACAUAAAACGAAGUGGGUAAAGGGUCUAUUAAAUAGAUAUUGGGAGCUGGUUGGUGAUUAAAUUGUAGUUGAGAAUUGGAAGUUGUGGUGGGUGAUUGUGGUUUUUAGCUAAUUUUGUAUACCUUAAUUAUUUAUUUAUGUUGUGAUACUACGUGAAAUUAUUCCAUCGGACGAUUUGA